AGUGAACGCUGGCGGCAGGCCUAACACAUGCAAGUCGAACGGCAGCACAAGAGAGCUUGCUCUCUGGGUGGCGAGUGGCGGACGGGUGAGGAAUGCAUCGGAAUCUGCCCAUUUGUGGGGGAUAACCUCGGGAAACCGGGACUAAUACCGCAUAUGACCUACGGGUGAAAGCAGGGGAUCUUCGGACCUUGCGCAGAUGGAUGAGCCGAUGCCGGAUUAGCUAGUUGGAGGGGUAAAGGCCCACCAAGGCGACGAUCCGUAGCUGGUCUGAGAGGAUGAUCAGCCACACUGGGACUGAGACACGGCCCAGACUCCUACGGGAGGCAGCAGUGGGGAAUAUUGGACAAUGGGCGCAAGCCUGAUCCAGCCAUGCCGCGUGUGUGAAGAAGGCCUUCGGGUUGUAAAGCACUUUUGUUGGGAAAGAAAAGCAGCCGGUUAAUACCCGGUUGUCAUGACGGUACCCAAAGAAUAAGCACCGGCUAACUUCGUG
rnacentral:rRNA from 1 species